rnacentral:rRNA from 1 species
CCUACGGGAGGCUGCAGUGGGGAAUAUUGCGCAAUGGGCGAAAGCCUGACGCAGCGACGCCGCGUGAGGGAUGAAGGUCUUCGGAUCGUAAACCUCUGUCAGCAGGGAAGAACGGUCACUGUGCUAAUCAGCAGUGAAUUGACGGUACCUGCAAAGGAAGCACCGGCUAACUCCGUGCCAGCAGCCGCGGUAAGACGGAGGGUGCGAGCGUUAAUCGGAAUUACUGGGCGGAAAGCGCUCGUAGGCGGUAUGUCAAGUCAAGGGUGAAAUCCCCGCGCUCAACGUGGGAACUGCCUUUGAAACUGGCAAACUGGAGUGUGUGAGAGGAUAGUGGAAUUCCAGGUGUAGGAGUGAAAUCCGUAGAUAUCUGGAGGAACAUCAGUGGCGAAGGCGACUAUCUGGAACAUAACUGACGCUGAGGAGCGAAAGCGUGGGUAGCAAACAGGAUUAGAUACCCCAGUAGUC